CCACACAAUUACUGACUCACUGCCAAACCGGUCAUGCUGGAGGAUGUUGCAGGCAGCAGAACGUUCUCCACAGCGUCUCCAGACUCGGCCACGUCUAUCACAUGUGCUCAGUGUGAAUCUGCUUUCAUAUGCGAAGAGCACAGGGCUCCAGUGGCGAAUUUGCCAAUCUUGGUGUUCUCUGGCAAAUGCCAAACGUCCUGCACGGUGUUGGGCUGUAAGCACAACCCCCACCUGUGGACGUCAGGCUCUCAUAACACCCUCAUGGAGUCUGUUUCUGAACGUUUGAGCAGACACUUGCACAUUUGUGGCCUGCUAGAGGUCAUUUUGCAGGGCUCUGGCAGUGCUCCUCCUGUUCCUCCUUGCACAAAGGCGGAGGUAGCGGUCCUGCUGCUGGGUUGUUGCCCUCCUACGGCCUCCUCCACGUCUCCUGGUGUACUGGCCUGUCUCCUGGUAGCACCUCCAUGCUCUGGACACUACGCUGACAGACACCACAAACCUUCUUGCCACAGCUCGCAUUGAUGUGCCAUCCUGGAUGAGCUGCACUAUCUGAGCCACUUGUGUGGGUUGUAGACUCCGUCUCAUGCUACCACUAGAGUGAAAGCACUUACAGCAUACAAAAGGGACCAAAACAUCAGCCAGGAAGCAUAGGAACUGAGAAGUGGUCUGUGGUCACCACCUGCAGAACCACUCCUUUAUUGGGGGUGUCUUGCUAAUUGCCUAUAAUUUCCACCUGUUGUCUAUCCCAUUUGCACAACAGAAUAUGAAAUUGAUUAUCACUCAGUGUUGCUUCCUAAGUGAACAGUUUGAUUUCACAGAAGUGUGAUUGACUUGGAGUUACAUUGUGUUAAGUGUUCCCUUUAUUUUUUUGAGCAGUGUAUAUAAUGAGAAUGUUGGAUUAUCCAGAGAGUUUACUUUUUGAGAACUACUUGUAGACCUGUUACAUUUGCAUCUCCCACAAGAAUUAUAUAGAAGCGGUAAAUAUAUGUAAGGAUUUCUUGUGUUUUCU